rnacentral:lncRNA from 1 species
CUAAGUUCUGCCAGCCUAGUGAGCUACACAUCUCUUGUCUUCCAGGAGGUUAACCCGAGCUUGUAUGCAUGGCUGUGCAGGAUUUCAAGGAUCUGGACAUGUCCUGCAAAUUGUGGUGACAGACACCUCUCUGCCUUCCUCUGGUCACCACUGCUGGAAUGAAUAGAGUUGAGCUGUGUGCAGCAGGAUGCCUCCAGAGACGUGCAAGCCAGACAUGAGGUGAGGGCAGGAUUCACUCGUUCUCAGGAAACUUGUCCCACAAUUAAACAGCAAGAGUGCCAAUAGGUGGGAGGAUUCCGACUUCUUCAGGUGAACAGCUUGCCUCGUCUUGGCUUGGGCACACUUUAGAGGAACAAUUGUUUUGUAGAGGGGUGGCCGUUCUGGAAACCAAGUCUAAUGGCUGGUGUGGAUGUGGAGAGUCAGGAAUCAGCCAUUGCUUCAGGGACUGUGGAAGAGGGUCCAAGAUCUCUGUGGAGUCUGAAGAGUGUGCAGGUGAACUGCAGACAACGCCAGAACUGUGCAUCCCUCUUCCUUUCCUCCCCCUACAUUUUACCUCCCUAGAGCAUUUCCACACCUACUGAUGCCUUGCACCAUGGAGAUUAAAUCUACAGACACUGGAGUCAGACAGGCUGGGUGUGCCUUCAGCCACUGCCCCUUUCUAAUGAAGUGAGCUUAGGUGAAUUAUCUCACCUCUCUGAACCUCAGUGUUGUCUUAAAAAACAUGGAUAUAAUUGUAAUCAUGUC